GAACCCACAACCUUGGUGUAUUGGGACAACGCUCUACCCGGCCAGGGCUCAGAAGACAUUUGUUGACUGAGUUAGAGAAUGAAGGAACAAUGUGGAGUCCUGAAACUCGGGUGGUCCAUGGUGUGCCGCCAAAGGCGGUGAAAGAGCAGGGAGGCAGCAGCUGACGGUACCGGCUCUCACAUGAGUGCACCUGGAGGGAAACUGGGAAACAUCACUGAAUUAUGAUUCGGUCACAGUCAUGCAAUGGAGAUGGCCUGGCGAUUAAACACAACAAAAGAAAGAGUUGGAUUCUAAUAGAAGCUCAAACCCAGACAAAAAGAAAACCAAAAUCCGGUCCCCGUGAGCCAAGUGAAGACCACAUCAGAACUGCACGAUGAGACCAGCGUUUCUGGAGCGCUAACAGUGCCUGGCACGUCAUCUGGAGCCAAAGGGGCAGGGUAGCUGAGUUUUUACGAUCAAUUGUAUCGAUCCAGGAAAACGGAAACCAAAAUAACUCUGUGAGAAAGGAACACUGGAAAGAUCAAUCAGAUCGAAUAAAAAUUGGUACUCAAGUGUGGAGGGGGGUUGCAUAGAAGGAGCAGAGAGCACUUCCGAUGACCUGAACUCCUCUGAUGAACGGGCUUAUGGUACUGUCGUCUGCCUCCCUCACCACCACUCGAGCCCUGGAGGAGGUCCUGCACCCGGUGGCUCUCAGUCAGUGUCUGUGGAG